AUUGAACGCUGGCGGCAGGCCUAACACAUGCAAGUCGAACGAGUGGCGGACGGGUGAGUAAUGUCUGUGAAACUGCCCGAGGGAGGGGGAUAACUACUGGAAACGGUAGCUAAUACCGCAUACCAUCGGAUGUGCCCAGAUAGGAUUAGCUAGUAGGUGGGGUAACGGCGCACCUAGGCGACGAUCCCUAGCUGGUCUGAGAGGAUGACCAGCCACACUGGAACUGAGACACGGUCCAGACUCCUACGGGAGGCAGCAGUGGGGAAUAUUGGACAAUGGGCGCAAGCCUGAUGCAGCCAUGCCGCGUGUAUGAAGAAGGCCUUCGGGUUGUAAAGUACUUUCAGCGAGGAGGCGUUACUCGCAGAAGAAGCACCGGCUAACUCCGUGCCAGCAGCCGCGGUAAUUC
rnacentral:rRNA from 1 species